rnacentral:rRNA from 1 species
UACAGAGGGGGCAAGCGUUAUUCGGAAUUAUUGGGCGUAAAGGGCUCGUAGGUGGCCAACUAAGUCAGACGUGAAAUCCCUCAGCUUAACUGGGGAACUGCGUCUGAUACUGGAUGGCUUGAGUUUGGGAGAGGGAUGCGGAAUUCCAGGUGUAGCGGUGAAAUGCGUAGAUAUCUGGAGGAACACCGGUGGCGAAGGCGGCAUCCUGGACCGGUAUUGACGCUGAGGAGCGAAAGCCAGGGGAGCAAAGCGGG